AAACAGUCUCUCAUUGUGUGUCCAAUAGAUUAUCCCUCUGAGUCCUGGAGAGUAGAGAAGUGCAUCUCCUACCAGUUCAGCUUCAACACAAACCAUGUUCAGUGCAUCUCUACUGCUGCUGGCAGCUGCGUCCUGUGUUCACUGUGAAGAACUCACUCAGCCAGCCUCUAUGACUGUCCAGCCAGGUCAACCACUGACCAUCUCCUGUAAGGUCUCAUAUUCUGUUACUAGCUAUUGGACAGCUUGGAUCCGUCAACCUACAGGGAAAGGACUGGAGUGGAUUGGAUGGAUAGCUUGUAUUUCUGGUCCAAGUGGUAGUACUAUCCACUACUCCCAGUCAGUUCAGGGACGGUUCACCAUCUCCAGAGACAACAGCAAGCAGCAGGUGUAUCUCCAGAUGAACAGCCUGAAGACUGAAGACUCUGCUGUUUAUUAUUGUGCUAGAGACAAAGCGACACAGGAUGGAUACUUUGACUAUUGGGGGAAAGGAACAAUGGUCACAGUCUCAUCAGCAACCACAGCCCCCUCUUCCCUAUUCCCUCUUAUGAACUGUGGAACCCCUACUAACGACAUCUACAGCAUUGGUUGUGUCGCUACCGGCUUUUCGCCUUCCUCAAUCACCUUCAAAUGGACGGACUCCAGCGAGAGUCCGCUGACGGACUUUGUCCAGUACCCGUCGGUUCAGAGCGGGGGAGCCUACAUCGGAGUCAGUCAGCUCCGCGUGUCUAAGAAUGAAUGGGGAAAAUCUGAGUAUUUCAGGUGUUCUGUGGAACAUCCUGGAGGUAAAAAGACAACAGUCAUCAAUAAACAACCAGUCUCAGUGUCUUUGCUGUCAGCGCCCAUUGGCAACACCCAGUACCUGAUGUGUAUGAUUGAAGAUUUAGCCGUUGUGGAAGUCACUGUCACCUGGAAGAAGAAUGAUAAGGAGGUGGAGGGCCCGACCCCUACUGUAGGCCUACAGCCAUCAGGCCUCUACUCAGCCAGCAGUCUGCUGAAGGUCAACAACACUGACUGGAACAACAAGGUCAAGUACAGCUGUGUGGUGCAGCACCAGGGACAAAACCCCACCAUCAAGACAAUCUCCAAAACAGAACCACUGACGGUGACUCUGAACCCACCGAGUGUGAAAAAGGUGUUCUUGGACAACCAAGCAGUGCUGGACUGUGUCAUCGCUGGUACAGACCAGAACACAGUGGCUGGUACCACUAUCACCUGGCAGGUCAACGGAAAGGACGAGACGGAAAAAAUCGUUGAAUCAAAGGACAACCUGAACAGCAGGGUCAGUACUCUGACCAUAGACCAGACAAGGUGGACCAAUGUGAACAAAGUCCAGUGUUCUGCCAAGAAGAGUGGCGAAGUCACACCGGUCAUUCAGGACAUCAGCUUCACCAAAGGAAGUCGAGCCCCUUCAGUGUCCGUUCACCUUCUCCCGGAGGAAGACACCAAGAAGGAGGGGGAUGUGACUCUGGUGUGCCUGGUGGUCAGCCCAUCUCUCUGUGACGUCUACAUCAUGUGGAAGGAGGACCGCAGCGAGUACCAGGAUGGGGUCACCAGCCCUCCUCAGAAAACCCCGGAAGGCAACUACUCUGUCACCAGUGUCUUCACCAUCAAAAAAAAUAAGUGGGAGGGAAACUCGGUUUUCACAUGUGCCGUCAAGCACGGCUUGGACAACAACACAGCACCUCAGGAGAGGAGUGUGUCAAAGUCCAUGGCGAACAUCCUACUGACUGAGCCUGAGGCGGGCUUUGCUCUGAGCUGCACGGACAACGUUGAGGAUGAGUUCGGCAGCUUGUGGUCCACCACCUCCUCCUUUAUCAUCCUCUUUCUUCUCUCCCUCACCUACAGCACAGUACUCAGCCUGGUCAAGAUGAAGCAGUGAAGAACACAUGAAGGACUGCAGAGAUAGAUGGGUCUAGAUUAGAAAGAUGGUCUGGGAUUGUUAUGGCACAGUGAUCUUCAGUAAUAAUGUUAUGUAUAUAUCCAAUUCAUUAUUGAUUAUGAUUGAUUCAUUUUGUUGAUCUCAAUAUUAUGCAAGCAUUGUGGUGAUGUGUUAUUUUUCCUUCAAUGAUUUCUAUUGUACACUAUCUUUAAAUCUAAGUGUAUCCUCUGAUGUCUCUGUGAUCUUUUUCACUUUAAUAAAGUCUAAGAUUUAGCUAGU